rnacentral:rRNA from 1 species
AGGGAAUCUUGCGCAAUGGGCGAAAGCCUGACGCAGCAACGCCGCGUGGGGGAAGAAGGCCUUCGGGUUGUAAACCCCUUUCAGGAGGGAAGAAAAUGACGGUACCUCCAGAAGAAGCACCGGCCAACUACGUGCCAGCAGCCGCGGUAAUACGUAGGGUGCGAGCGUUAUCCGGAAUCAUUGGGCGUAAAGAGCUCGUAGGCGGUUCAACAAGUCGGCUGUGAAAGUCCGGGGCUCAACCCCGGAAUUGCAGUCGAUACUGUUGUGACUUGAGUCCGGUAGAGGAGAAUGGAAUUCCCGGUGUAGCGGUGGAAUGCGCAGAUAUCGGGAGGAACACCAGUAGCGAAGGCGGUUCUCUGGGCCGGCACUGACGCUGAGGAGCGAAAGCGUGGGGAGCGAAC